GGNNUUUAACCGGAGAAGUGCAUCGGAAACUGGGAGACUUGAGUGCAGAAGAGGACAGUGGAACUCCAUGUGUAGCGGUGGAAUGCGUAGAUAUAUGGAAGAACACCAGUGGCGAAGGCGGCUGUCUAGUCUGUAACUGACGCUGAGGCUCGAAAGCAUGGGUAGCGAACAGGAUUAGAUACCCUGGUAGUCCAUGCCGUAAACGAUGAGUGCUAAGUGUUGGAGGGUUUCCGCCCUUCAGUGCUGCAGCUAACGCAUUAAGCACUCCGCCUGGGGAGUACGACCGCAAGGUUGAAACUCAAAGGAAUUGACGGGGGCCCGCACAAGCGGUGGAGCAUGUGGUUUAAUUCGAAGCUACGCGAAGAACCUUACCAGGUCUUGACAUCUUCUGCCAAUCUUAGAGAUAAGACGUUCCCUUCGGGGACAGAAUGACAGGUGGUGCAUGGUUGUCGUCAGCUCGUGUCGUGAGAUGUUGGGUUAAGUCCCGCAACGAGCGCAACCCUUAUUAUCAGUUGCCAGCAUUCAGUUGGGCACUCUGGUGAGACUGCCGGUGACAAACCGGAGGAAGGUGGGGAUGACGUCAAAUCAUCAUGCCCCUUAUGACCUGGGCUACACACGUGCUACAAUGGACGGUACAACGAGUCGCGAAGUCGUGAGGCUAAGCUAAUCUCUUAAAGCCGUUCUCAGUUCGGAUUGUAGGCUGCAACUCGCCUACAUGAAGUUGGAAUCGCUAGUAAUCGCGGAUCAGCAUGCCGCGGUGAAUACGUUCCCGGGCCUUGUACACACCGCCCGUCACACCAUGAGAGUUUGUAACACCCAAAGCCGGUGAGAUAACCUUCGGGAGUCAGCCGUCUAAGGUGGGACAGAUGAUUA
rnacentral:rRNA from 1 species